AUUCAACAGUGCACUCAACUCUCCCCUGUCCAAAACAGCAAGUCGUGCCAUGAGAAAUGGCUUUGUGUUUUUCCAUUCACUCCCAGGUGUCCUUGGACCAAUAAAAGAAAACCCAUCAGUCCAACAGCCCGGGAAGCUCCUCUACACCUUAAAGGCUGUGCUGAGAAUUUCCAAGAAACACAACUGACGGGUUCCUUUUCAACAUGUGACCAGGAGUUAUGCUGGACUGAAGCUUGUGGAUAGAAUGAAGAGAAGCCAAGGGACUGAGACAUGAUUGAGCAGGACUGGAACAGAAAGCAAG
rnacentral:lncRNA from 1 species